AACCCGCAUCCUCAUGGAGACAAUGUUGGGGCCUUAACCUGCUGAGCCACAAUGGGAACUCCCCAGCAGGACUUUUGUGACAAUUAGUGUUAAUGGAUGGAUAUAAACUCCUAUCAACCAUUCACCCUGUUAAUUCAUAUAUUAUUUAAUGAAUAUUUAUCUAAUGAAAGGAAGCUGGGCAGAGAGCAGCUGGUCUAUGUUGGGGGCAGUGGAGCAUACAGGUUCACUUAUCGUGCUUAACAUCCCUAACCUACUCCCCUCAUCUAUCCAGCCCUGGCCUCUGUCGUUCUGCACACUCCCUGAGCCUUCAGGAGUGUCAGGGCUGUGCCUCCUGGGGAGCAUAGGCAGGCUGGUGUGAUGAGAAAAGAGUUUUUCCAAGUCAUGUUCAUGCAAGAGAAUACUUCAAGACUGAAAGUUUUAAAAUUCUUUUAUUAAUCUACUCAGUUAAGAGUGACAAGCAGGGUUCUAAAAACAUGGAGUUAUUUUAUCUACGAUCCAUUUUCCAGUAAGUGACUACCCAGUUAGCUGAAGCACAAGAAUAGGUAAUGGCUUUGUUUUCCUAAGAUGUAGUCAUUCCGAUUAUUUUUAGAUGAAUGAUUCGGAGCCAGAAGUAUAACUCAUAAUUAUGUUGCUAUGAUUCUACAACCAGUUGUUUGGUGGAAUUAGUUUGACCGUGACAACUUUAAAGUCACCACAUUUUCUGAAAAAAAUCAGCAGAUAAAAACUGAAAAUAAAAGAUUCCAUGACACGAAGUGCUGUUUCCUGCUAUUAUCUCACAUCUUUCUCCUCUGAAGCUUGCCUGCUGCCUUCCCUUAGGCUCUUUCCUGGUUUCCAGCUCUUACAAGGCUCCCCCAGGUACUUAAGCCCACUGACAAACCACCGAAUGCUCCAGGAAGCAUUCCUAAAGACCCCAGCCUGAGGAGCUGCUCUCUUCCUCUUAAUUCAUGCAUUGAUUGUGGAUUGGCUACAGCCUUCCUUAGAACUCCUCAUUCUCUCCCUUGAAUUUUGGUUUAUUUUCAAAUAAAUCUCAUUAUUUCCAAAGCUAGUUUUGGUCUAUGUAAAAAUUUUACAUUACAAAAAUUAUAUAUCAAUAUUAUCAAAAAUUUGGAAGAGAGAGGAAAGAAAAAUAUUCAUAAUCUCAUUAUCUUAACACUAACUCUGUACUCAUCAUUUUAGGGUGUUUUUUCUUAAGCUUUUUUUCUAUGCUUAUUUUUUCACUGAUUUAAUUCCAGUGUCUGUGCAAUUUCACAGUUUGACUUUUUUGCAACUAAUGCUACAUCACCACCAUUAUGGUAAUUGCUAUAUAGUUUUCAUAAAUGUUACUUUAAAGCCUGUGUAAUGUUGACUACUAUCAACAUUUAAGAUUGUUAAUUAUAGUCCACUAUUAUAAAUGGUACUGCAGUUGACAUCUUUAUGCAUGUAGUUUUCUCAGUGUGUGUAUUAUAUGUAUACAUGCAUGUGUAUUUCAAUUUUUUUUUCCCUUAAGCUAGUAUCCCAAAAGGAAAAUUACCGAAUCAAAGAGUAUGAUUAUUUUUAAGGUUUUUGAAACAUAUUGCUAAACUGGUUUUCUAAAGAGUUGGACCAGUUUAUAUUACCAGAAACAUAUGAGAGUAUCAGUUUCUCCAGACUUUUACCAAAAUUAUUUCUUAAUUAUUAGUCUUCAUAUAAUCAAAAUAAGAUGACAUUUGUUCACGGUUUAAAUUUUUUACUAAAGCAUACAGAAAAGUAUGGAGGAAAAAAUUAGUCCAUGGCCCUGAUUUAUCGAAUUUUAAUACAUUCCCAUUGUACUAGUUUGUACUACAUUGUACUAGUUUUAUAAAAAUAAAAUAUUACAUACAUAGUGAAGUCUUUGUGUACCCCUUCCCAGUUCUACUCUCUGUACACUUUUACAGAGAUGACUGGAACUGGAUGUUUACUGUUCUUUGCAUUUCCGUAUCUUUUAAUUGUUAAAUCUUUGACUACUAACAAAGUUAAACUUUUUCCUAUGGCAUAGCUACUAUGAAAGUUCUUAGGUUCUAGAGUCAGGUAUAACUGGCUUUGAGUUCCUGCUCUGCUUCUUGCUACUCAUGUCUCCUUGAACCUCUCUGUGCCUCAGUUUCCUCAUCUAGAAAAUGGAGAUAAUAAUCAUUCCUACUAUUGUUUAUGUUGCUGUGAAGCUUAACUAUGACAGUUCAGGUAAAAUUCUUGGCCCAGGGCCCAGCACUCGAUAAAGCCUUUCACUAUUACUCUAGUUUCUCUUUUGAAUUGCCCGCUCCUUGUUCUUCUGGAAAAGAUUAGCUUACAACCUGUGACACACUUUAUCAAAUAUGAUCGUAUUUACUCUUCACGACAGCUCUGUGAGAUAGUAUUGCGGUGAUCCCAUUUGAUAAAUGAGGAAACGGAGCCUGAAUGGUCCAUAGGCUAGCAGGGAGCAGAGCUGUGUCUGAACUCGGUCUCAGGAGCAGGCAGCUCACUGCCCUUCUGUGCUGCUGCCCCUUCACCUCUGAAACUAGACAUGCUUUUUCAUGAUACGAUAUCACAUCACGAGCCCAUAAGGUAGUUUUAGCACAGUUCUGUAACACAGUCAUUACAGAUGGAUCCCAGUUUCUGUAUUUAUAAUUGUUUUCUUUUUCUAUCUUUUCUGAAUAUUCUGCAAGAAAUAUUUAUUGCUCUUAUAAAACCAGAUAUGCUUCUAAAUGCAUCAAAAACGUUGCCAGGAGUUUCCGUAGCAGUUCAGUAGAAGCGGAAACAAUCCGACUAGGAACCAUGAGGUUGCGGGUUUGAACCCUGGCCUUGCUCAGUGGGUUAAGGAUCCAGCAUUGCUGUGAGCUGUGGUGUAGGUUGAAGAUGCAGCUCGGAUCUGAUGUUGCUGUGGCUGUGGUGUAGGCUGGCAUCUGUAGCUCUGAUUUGACCCAUAGCCUGGGAACCUCCAUAUGCCAUGGGUGCGCCCCUAAAAAAGCGUUAAAAAAAAAGUUACCAGUUAUGUAAUAUGAUUAUAUUAUAUUGACAAUAUUAGAGAUUUAAGAUCUCUAGGCUUGGUAUUGCCUUUUUUCUGAAUUUUUAAAAAUAAGUCAAAGUAAAGAUCUUAAGCAAUUUCUGCAUCCAAAUUUCAGUGCCUGAAUGUAUGAAUCUAAAACAUUCUAAUUAAAAUAACCUCAAAAUGAUCCACUGUAUUUAAUAGGUAGCUAGAGUAAUAUGAACAUUGUAUGAUUUAUGAAAACUUAAUUUUAAAAGAAAAAUGUUACUAAAAUGUAUUUAUAAACCAUAAGUCAUGAAACUUUAUCUUGUAUUGUUUUUUUUUUUGAGGCACAAGAAAAAAGAAUAUUUUUUUUCUUUUUACAGCUGCACCUGAGGCAUAUGGAAGCUCCUGGGCUAGGAGUCGAACUGGAGCCGCAUCUAAGCCCCAGCCAUGGCAACACCAGAUCCUUAACCCACUGAGCUAGGCGAGGGGCCAAACCAGCAUCCUUACAGAGACAACGUCGGGUCCUUAACCUUCUGGGCCGCAACAGGAACUCCGGGAACAUUUUUUAAGGUGAUAUUUUAUGGUAAUGAUAUUUUUCUCAGUUUGUCAAUACUCGUUUUUCCUUUGAACACACUGAUGUUGCUCAUAUUAAGUGACAUUCUCCUUAUCAUAUCUAAGAUUCAGAGAACCCAAAAGGGGUGGGUGUUAAUGAGGAGUCACACCCAACAUGACAAACCCCCAGGCAUGGCAGAAUGAGGUACCAUUAAUGGCAACUAGAGGACCAGAGAGUACCUCAAGACUCAGGAAAAGUGUGUUAUGGACACAAGGUUAUGCCAAGGCUAUUUACUGAACUAAACACUGAAGUAUUUUGAAAAGACCAAUAUAGAGCCUGCCAAUCUAAGUCCAGUGUUUGUUUUGGUUUUACUCCAACAGGAGAAUAAUCUGGUUCUUUUUUUUUUUUUUUUCUCCCAGAAAACACAGGGUUCAGGUAAAUGGCAGUAUGGGAGUCUAUAAAAACCAUCACUUUAUAAAUGACAGUCUGCCUGUCACCUGGCGAUCUGCCAAUUCUCCCAGCUAUUCACUGGAGCAAUACUCUGAGUCUGGCCUCUUGCCAGUGUCUGAAAAGGGCUCAAGCCAUGGGAGCUUCUCUGUGGCUCUCACUGCAGGUCUCCUUUCGUGGACCUUUUCCAGGAGGGUGGCAGUCACUUCAGCAGAAAGCCACCUCGCAACCCACGAAGUUUACCUCUUACUGGAGACUGUGUUAGCAGACGAAUGCCCCCACAUUCCAAAAUAUUUUAAGGAAAUUCAUCAUAAGCCUCUGGAUGAAAAGGCAACAGAAAAACUACAGUGCCUGGUAGGUCCUUACAGGGGGAUAAAUACCUCUGCCCUGAGGUAUUUCACAGAGUUGCACAUGCUCAUCUGCUAACUACGACUCAUUUCCUUUAUGAAAUUUUAAGCAAUCUGUUCUAAGAGAUGGUAUGGAAGAAGAUGAAAAUUCCUUUUUAAAAAAACAAUGUGUUAAAACCCAAACUCAAAAUCAGAGCAAAAAUACAUUGCUCUUCUCUGCUUGGAUUUUCUAGAAACAGCUUCAGGCAGCAGGGUGAAUUCCGGGGGCCGUUUUAGGGCAAGCCGGGGUGGGAUUAGAUGUUCCAGCCUGUACAGUUCUCCUAAGCCUGCCAUGAUCUGUAACUUAGCUCUUGGGCCUGGGCCAGAACCAGACCAACAUUCAAGGGUGAGCAAAGAAGGCAGCCGCCUUUGGGCAACUGCUGUGCAGAAUUCUCUGGAUAAUGCCUUUCACUCUGUUCUCCCCAACACUGGUCAAACACCCUCAAUCCAUCCUCUGCUUCCUUAGCGUCACUGUAGGUCUCUCCUGCUGAAGUUACAUACCUUUUUAAGAUUAUGAAAAUAAAUGCUAACCAUGCUAUUUUUGGGUCUCAGUUGAAAACAAUUAUCCUUUAGCAAUUUUCACAGUAUAAAUAAGGCUAAAGUUUGCUCUAUAACUUCAUUAAGAGAGUAUCUGUAAUGGGGGAAAAAGUACCAAAUUAUUUAAUGUAAAGAUUUAUAUAACAUCCCAACUAGGAAAAUGUCAUAUAAAUUUAUGUAUAUCAUAUAUGUAUCUUUCAUAAUUUGUUUUGUCAUCUUUCAUAAUAUAUGUAUGAGGAGUGUGAAUUUAAUUUUAGAUGCUUUAUUCAUUGAUAAUCCAUCUCAGAUUCUCUGUGAGCACUCAUGAUAAUGAAUGUAUUUGAUGUUCAGGUGGCUUCUCUGUGCUUUCAUUUUGCAGUUUUGCAGCUGAGUAAUCGAUAAUUCAAGGUACACAGAACAUUAAAAAAAAGUCUCAGUUAUUAUAAUGAAAGUACAAAUUGGUUUUUCCAGGCUUUUAAAAACUUUAAAGCCUUACUGGGUUGUAAGGAAAGUCUAUAUAAGUUUUUCCUUCUGAAUUAAGUUCUAGGCAGUACGAUAAAAUAGAGUCCCCAAGAGUUCUCCCGUGGCUCAGCAGGUUAAGGAUCCCAUGUUGUCACUGUAGUGGCUUGGGUCACUGCUGUGGCAUGGGUUUGAUCCCUGGCUGGGAACUUCUGCAUGGCGAGAGUGUAGCCUCCUCCCAC
rnacentral:lncRNA from 1 species